rnacentral:misc_RNA from 1 species
GCAAACUUGGUCAUUUAGAGGAAGUAAAAGUCGUAACAAGGUUUCCGUAGGUGAACCUGCGGAAGGAUCAUUAUCGAAGUCUUUAGGAAAAGGGGGAAAGAGAGGAGCGAGCGAAGUUUGAAGGGAUACGAUCAUAGGAUUGAACUGUAGCUGGCCUUUCGGGGCAUGUGCACGUCUUUUCUGUGAUCCCCCUUCCUAGUCCUCGUGUACCUCUCUCCUUUUCCUAAGUUCUCAUUACACCUGUGCACCUAUUGUAGGUUCCUCGAAAGAGGACCUAUGUCUUUCAUCUACACCCAACGUAUGUUUACAGAAUGUCUAUUUGUAGUGUCGUUCGGCCCGUGCACUCAGUGCCUUGUCGUCGACCACAAAAAAAAACCUAAAUACAACUUUCAGCAAUGGAUCUCUUGGCUCUCGCAUCGAUGAAGAACGCAGC